UGUUUUUUUUUUGUUUCAUGUUUUUUUUUGUGAUAGAAGACAACAAGGCGCGUUGGUGGGCCGGCCCGGGCGAAGAGCCUGUGCGAAGCCCCGCCAUUCUGCCGCAAAUUGCGGCAGAUAGGAAGACCCUGUGGAACAUAUAGCUUGCUCGAUAGCUGUUUUUCCUUCGUUCUCGCACGAUGUGCUUGUUCGAUCCAUCUCUAUGUAGGGCUGCUUGCUAGAGUUUUUCUAUUUCUUGUGAGGAUGUGCUGUGAAAAAGUUCAUGAAUUCAAAAAAAUGUUCCCGAAUUCAAAAACGUUCAUGAAUUUGUAAAAAAGUUGAGUGAGUUUGGAAAAUGUUUAGUAAAUAAAAGAAGUUCAAGAAUUUUAAAAAAUGUUUGUUAAUUCCCAAAUUUGUUCGUGAAUUUGUGAAAAGUUCAAGAUAUUUUUUUAAAAAAUCAUAAAUUUGAAAAACAGUUCACUAUAAUAAAUUAGCAAAAAUAGAAUAAAAAUCAUGGAUUUGAAAAAAAAAUCACUAAAAAAAGUUAGCAAAAACAGAAAAAGCAGGCAGAUUUGAAAGAGUUCACUAAAAAGAGUUAGCAGAACUGAAAAGGUUCGCAGAUUUGAAAAGGAUUCAUGUAAUUAAGAAUCACAAAGUUGAGAAAAAUCACAAUUUGAGAACAAGUUCAUGAAUUUCUAAAAGUUCACGCGAAAAAAGAAAGAAGAUGAGAAAAAGACAAAUCAAAAAGAAGAAAAACGAAAAAGACCCAGAUAAAACUGAACAAAAACUGGAUUAGGAAACUAGAAAAAAAACAACCUGAAGCUUAAAGAAGCUUCGCAAAACCGGGUUGGGAAGCUUCCAGAAGCUUCACAAAACCUGGAUGAACUUCUCCACUUCCUGGCUUACAUGGGCCGGCCCGUUCGGAUCGGGGAUGUGAGCCGAUUUGCAAAACAUAUUGAAACCGGGGCUUAAGGCGCCAUAUAGGAUUUAGUGCUUGGAUGUGCAACUCUGAGUUUUUGGGUUCGAGCCGAUAAAAGAAACAACCAUGAAAUGGGAUGUGAAAGUGGGCCCGUUUUCUUCUCGGGUUGUGCUCGGCUCGACAAACCCAUCGAUCUGAUCACACGCCCCUAUAUUCGUAAUUGGAAAUUUAUGGAAGGAGACCCAUCAUUUUACAAAGAAAACAACAUAUAAAACUCUGGUCCAACUUAAUAAUGUGAUUGAGGCAAUGACGGAUAAAUAUCUUGGUUUACCCUCACAUAUGGGUGUUGAUCGUAGUGAUUGUUUUCAGCAACUUGUUGAUAGAGUCUGGGCUCUUAUUGAUGGGUGGAAUGCUACGAUGCUAUCACCGGUGGAAAGGAAAUACUGCUAAAAUCAGUGGCACGGUCUAUACCAGUGUACGCAAUAUCAGUUUUCAGUUUGCCUAAGAAAAUUUGCAAAGGUAUUUGUGAUGCAAUAGCGAGGUACUGGUGGGGUGGCUCUCAGGACCAAAGAAAGUUGCACUGGAAAGCUUGAUGGAAAAUGUGUAUACCAAAGAAAGAAGGAGGCAUGGGAUUUCGUGAUCUACACUGUUUUAACCAAGCUAUGCUUGCUAAGCAGUGUUGGUGACUUUUGUCUUAACCUGAAUCAUUAUGUGCUCAGGUGCUACGAGCUAAGUACUAUCCGGAUGGGGAUCUUUUUAAUGAUGUACUAAAACAGGGAUCCUCUUUUACAUGGCGCAGUAUCAUGUCUGGUCUAAAGACCCUCAGGAGGGGUGCGAUUUGGAGACCGGGUAAUGGGGCUUCUAUAAAAAUUUGGUCUGAUCUUUGGAAACAUUCGGCCUAUGAUUGGCGUGUUUUGACCCCUAGGGGUCAUUGUCUACCAGAGACAAUACAAGAUCUAAUUGACCCUACCACAGGCGAGCGGGAUGUUCAGCUUAUACAAGAUAAUCUCUGGUCUAUUGAUGUUUCAAGAAUAUUAAAAAUUCCACUUCCAUCUCAAGAUCAACCGGAUUUCAUUGCUUGGCAAUUUUGUAAGUUUGGAUGCUUCACAGUGAGGUCAGCAUAUUAUGCAGAAUGGAAUGCGGAGUACCGAACCAGAGCGGGGAUUGUACCAGGAGGAGGAAGAAAUGAUUCUCAUCCUGUUUGGAAAAUACUAUGGGAGACGAGGGUCCCUCCCAAGGUGCACAUUUUUAUUUGGAGGGCACUGCAUGACAUUGUGCCUUGUUAUUGUACCUUGGCGGAUAGACAUAUAAAGACACGGGUAAUUUGCCCUGUGUGUAAUAUUGAUCCAGAAGACCUUAGACACAUUAUUUUCAUUUGCCAAAGAGCUACAGAAGUAUGGGAAGAAUUAGGUCUUAGGGAUUGUGUGACGGCUGUCGCAUCACAGUACAGGUCAGGAUCACUAAUUCUGGAUGAGAUUUUAUGUUCAAAACUACGAGGGAGAGUGGAAGUCCCUGGAGAAAAUGCGGUGGAGUUGAUUCUUGUUGCGUGUUGGUACAUAUGGUGGGAACAGCGUCAGAUUUCACAUGAUGAGAAGGUUGCAACACCAACUCGAUCUGCCCUACAGAUUAGAGGGAUUGUUGCCAAUUGGGUCACAGAUAAAAAGACAGUUCCCCAGAGGGAUAUUUGUUGGUCUAGGCCGGCAUCGGGAUGUAUAAAAUUGAAUGUUGAUGCUUCGUACCACGUGGACAGAGGUGCUGGUUCUUGUGGUGCAAUUCUACGGGACUGCAAAGGAGGUUUUAUUGCUGCAGCGAUGGAGUUUAGGCAGCAUGCUCUUGAUGCUCCUACGAUGGAGGCAGCUGUGCUAUUAGGCUUAUGACUUGCCGAGGGGUUGGGUAUUCUCUCUACCAGGCUAUACAGAAUCCGUCCGGGUAUCGGGCGUCAAGAGCAGUGAUCACCGAUGAUUGCCGGAAGUUGAUGAAUUCUUUUGACAAGGCGACUACAAGUCAAAGUAUGCGUGAAACUAAUGGGUGUGCUCAUGAACUUGCUCGCUUUAGUUUUGAGGGACAGGGAUAUGGGGUGUGGAAUGAUAAACCUCAAGACUUCCUAAUCCCAUUUAUUGUAAAGGACAUGCUUGUUACCUAAUUAUAGUUGCGAAAGUUAAAAAAAAUAUAAAACUCUGGACAACUUCGAAAUGAGGCCAAGCGUCUUAAUACAUAUGCAAAAAAAAUCAUUAUUGUCGAUCGGAUCACACGGCCGAACAACGAUCACGCGCGCGAACGGCCGGGCGGGCGGACACCGGCGCGGACGGCACGGACGCGUGGGCUCACGCUGUGCAGUGAGUGAACUGGCCAACGUUGCAUCGAACAGACGCCGGUCGAAUAGGAUUUACCUUUUCUGAUCGGGACAGCACGAUCAACGCGCUCCGGUGUCCGAACGAACCAAGCCCGCACUGCCGAUCGCGCACGAGCGACUCCACCGCCACCGCCACCCUGCGGCGGCCCACGACGUCUCUUCUGCGUUUCGCGGCCAGACAGAUGGCCGGAAGGUGAGGCCGAUCGCCUGCCGGCGGCGGCGGAGGUGACCGGGGUUAUGGAGGGCGGUGGCGCUGGCGGGGAGGCGGAGGCGGACGCGCUGGAGUACACGCCGACGUGGAUCGUCGCCGGGGUCUGCUCCCUCAUCGUGACCAUCUCCCUCGCCGCCGAACGAUGCCUCCAUUACCUCGGCAAGGUGACCCCAACCCCAGUCUUGCCGAUGAUCUCUCUUUGCCUUGAUGCGCUUAAUACGGAGUGCUGCAUGCAGACGCUCAAGAGGAAGCACCAGAAGGCGCUCUUCGAGGCCCUCCUCAAGGUGAAAGAAGGUGCGGCAGCAUUCACCUUUUCUUCAGAGUUUCAACAGCAUUUCUUAUUGCAGAAUGCUCAUCUUCCCUCUGCUCCCUUUAUACAAUAUCCAUCUUAUUAAUUGCAAAAUGAGGGGGUAGCUCAGAGCUCGUUCGUUCACCGUCUCAUUUGGCCUCAAUCAGAUGAGAAAAAAUGGUGCCUUCUGCAUAAGCAUGAACUGCAUUUCCAGUUUCAGACUGUCUUUGGGUGUGUGUGAUGAUGCAGAGCUGAUGCUUCUGGGGUUCAUCUCUCUGCUGAUGACGGUGUCGCAAGAUGUGAUCCAGAUGACAUGCAUUCCUCCCAGCUGGACCAACUACCUGCUUCCCUGCAAGAAGAUGGAGGAGCAUUCUGUUGCCGCUCUCGGCGGUCGCAGGCUGCUUCCUAGGAAUGCGCCGCGGUCCGACCAUUGCAGAAACAAGGUUGAUGGGCCGUUAGUUUAAAGAGAUACCUUUUGUUUAAUUAUGCACUUCAUGAUUAAUACAUACAAUCUCACUCUAAUUCAGGUUAGUUAGUGCACUACUACCUUGCUCACUGAAUUUUAAGAGUCGGUGCGCACAAAGACAAAGAGUGCUAUAUGGCUUUAACCCCAGUUCUUGCAACAUCUUAAAAGAUGUCUAAUGCUGGAAUGAUCCUAGGUAACCUUGUGCUAACUCCAGUUUAUGUGUUGGCAGGGAAAAGUUCCUUUGCUGUCGCUCGAAGCGUUACAUCAGUUGCAUAUUUUCAUUUUUGUUCUGGCCAUCACCCAUGUGAUUUUCAGUGUUCUGACCAUGGUUUUAGGAGGAGCCAAGGUAAACUUUCAUAACACCGGUUUUGGUUUAAUGCUUGAUUUUAGGAGGAGCCAAGGUAAACUUUCAUAACACUGUUCUAUUGCUCAGAUUCGCCAAUGGAAACAAUGGGAGACUGAAAUUCAUAAAAACGAUGCAGGAAACGGUCGGUUGCUGCCCCACAUUUUGAUCUAAUCAAUACCUUUACUUUAGAAACAAUUUAAUGCUAGAAAUGUAUGCAUAUUUAAGGAAAAAUAGGCUGCCUAGUUAUGGCUUGUGCAAUCCUCUGGAACUGCAGGACCUAAGAAGUUGACCAACGUUCAACAAUUUGAAUUUAUCAGGGAACGUUUUAAUGGUGUUGGCAUGGAGUCUACGAUGUUGAGCUGGAUGGUAAGAAAUGCAUCCCAUAUGGUUUUCAGUCAAAACACCACCGUAUCCUCUUCAUACGAACAUAUCUAUAUUUUUCUGCUAAACCUGCCCUACUAAUCAAAACAUUCCCUCAGCAUUCUUUUGUUAAGCAGUUUUAUGCAUCGGUCACUAAAUCAGACUACGCGACCAUGCGACUCGGUUUCAUCAUGGUAAGGAUGAUAGUUCAACAGCAUGCUGACAACUCUAUCCUCUCUUCAUUUAUGAAAAUUAAUAACAAGAGAUCCUUUUCUCUGCAGACGCAUUGCCGAGGAAACCCGAAAUUUGGCUUUCACAGAUACAUGGUGCGAGCUCUGGAGGCCGAUUUCAAGAAGGUGGUUGGCAUAAGGUAAUCCAAACUCACAAAUUGUGUUUUUGAUAAUCCCCAGAUCGAUGUUUCGGGUGAAAAUUCCCAAUUUCUGGGUUCAUUUACCAGUGGCUGUUGAGCAGCGCAACCUGAGUGGCCUGAUCAUUUUUUUUCACCCUUGCUUCCACUUAGGUGGUACCUGUGGAUAUUCGUUGUGAUAUUCAUGCUGCUGAACGUCAAUGGUAAGUUCCAAUCACACUGCCAUAUCCAGUGUUUACAACUAUUCCAACAUCGUAUACCCUACCCACUUGCUGAUCUGAUUGACCUGCAGGCUGGCACACCUACUUCUGGAUCUCCUUCCUUCCUCUCAUCGUAGGUGUCCCUGAACCCCAGCACGCAUAUCAAAGUGUGAACUUGUGUAUAUAAGCUUCCUUCCUUGUGGUUGCAGCUGCUGCUGGCCGUGGGCACGAAGCUGGAGCACGUGAUAGCUCAGCUGGCGUACGACGUCGCGGAGAAGCACUCGGCGAUCGAGGGCGACCUGGUGGUGAACCCGUCGGACGAGCACUUCUGGUGCGGCAAGCCCAGGGUGAUCCUCUACCUGAUCCACUUCAUCCUCUUCCAGAACGCCUUCGAGAUCGCGCUCUUCUUCUGGAUCCUUGUGAGUGUCCUCUGCAAAGUAUCAUAUCAGUAGAAGAGAAAAGAAGAAUGGAUGGAUGGAUGGAUGGAUGGAUGCUAGUGACUAACUGUGUCUCUGUUGGGUUUUUCCCUUUACCAAUUUGCAAGACCACCUACGGCUUCAACUCGUGCAUCAUGGACCACGUCCCCUUCAUCGUGCCGAGGCUCGUCAUCGGGUCGGUCGCAUCGCUUCCGUCGAUUCACUCUUCACAUUGCCAAGAAGAAGCAGGCAGCCAUGUUUUCAUCUUCUAAGGUUCAGGCUCAAAGACAGUUGUUGGUUUUGCCCUUUGAUUGCAGGGUCGUCAUCCAGCUGCUGUGCAGCUACAGCACCCUGCCGCUGUACGCGAUCGUGACGCAGAUGGGGACCUUCUUCAAGAAGGAGAUCUUCGACGAGCACAUCCAGCAGGGGCUGGUGGGGUGGGCGCAGAAGGCCAGGAUGAGGACAGAGCUAUCCAAGGAUGCUGCCGCGGCCGGACCGACCAGGCACGGCCCGUCCUCCCGGCUGGAGAUGCUGCGGCGAGCCGCCGCCAUGAUGCAGUGCCGCCGCGCGCUGCCAAGGUAGCUCGUGCACGGCCAGAAGAACCAAAGAUUGAAGUGUCAUAUAUCAGUAAGACACGAUCUAGCGCGAGAACGGCAACUAGUUACACCUCAGGAGAAUGAUAUAGGCUUGGUUUUGCUUUAGUAAACUGCUAGUGAGCAAGAAGAGUAUAGUACUUAUAGCUGAUAAUAGUACGAGAUACCAGUAUCGCUUCUUUUUUUUACUACAGCUCAGCGGGUAAAACCCUGGAGAAGCACCAGUACAACAACCAAAACUGACAACGGAAAUAUACUCAUACAACUAGCAAGCCCGCUCGGUGGGCUCAAGACCGCACCAAACCGUCUUGAGAUCUCCAGCCAGAAACAAGCAGGACCAACCAACCAUUCAC
rnacentral:lncRNA from 1 species